AGGGUUCGAUUCUGGCUCAGGAUGAACGCUGGCGGCGUGCUUAACACAUGCAAGUCGAACGAAGCAACUAUCUUGCUUGCAAGAGAGUUGACUUAGUGGCGGACGGGUGAGUAACGCGUGGGUAACCUGCCUCAGUACAGGGGGAUAACAGUUGGAAACGACUGCUAAGACCGCAUAACCCGCUAGUGUCGCAUGACACGGACGGAAAAUAUUUAUAGGUAUGAGAUGGGCCCGCGUCUGAUUAGCUAGUUGGUAAGGUAACGGCUUACCAAGGCGACGAUCAGUAGCCGACUUGAGAGAGUGAUCGGCCACAUUGGGACUGAGACACGGCCCAAACUCCUACGGGAGGCAGCAGUGGGGAAUAUUGGACAAUGGGGGAAACCCUGAUCCAGCGAACCGCCGCGUGAGUGAAGAAGUAUUUCGGUAUGUAAAGCUCUAUCAGCAGGGAAGAUAAUGACAGUACCUGACUAAGAAGCCCCGGCUAACUACGUGCCAGCCGCAGC
rnacentral:rRNA from 1 species